UCAAGUGAAGAAGCGCAUACGGUGGAUGCCUUGGCAGUCAGAGGCGAUGAAAGACGUGGUAGCCUGCGAAAAGCUUCGGGGAGUCGGCAAACAGACUGUGAUCCGGAGAUGUCUGAAUGGGGGAACCCAGCCAUCACAAGAUGGUUAUCUUACACUGAAUACAUAGGUGUAAGAGGCGAACCAGGGGAACUGAAACAUCUAAGUACCCUGAGGAAAAGAAAUCAACCGAGAUUCCCUUAGUAGUGGCGAGCGAACGGGGACCAGCCCUUAAGUUGUAUUGAGAUUAGCGGAACGCUCUGGAAAGUGCGGCCAUAGUGGGUGAUAGCCCUGUACGCGAAAAUCCCUUUGCAAUGAAAUCGAGUAGGACGGGGCACGAGAAACCUUGUCUGAAUAUGGGGGGACCAUCCUCCAAGGCUAAAUACUACUGACUGACCGAUAGUGAACCAGUACCGUGAGGGAAAGGCGAAAAGAACCGCGGAGAGCGGAGUGAAAUAGAUCCUGAAACCGUAUGCGUACAAGCAGUGGGAGCCCACUUUGUUGGGUGACUGCGUACCUUUUGUAUAAUGGGUCAGCGACUUAUUUUCAGUGGCGAGCUUAACCGAAUAGGGGAGGCGUAGCGAAAGCGAGUCUUAAUAGGGCGUCUAGUCGCUGGGAAUAGACCCGAAACCGGGCGAUCUAUCCAUGGGCAGGUUGAAGGUUGGGUAACACUAACUGGAGGACCGAACCGACUACCGUUGAAAAGUUAGCGGAUGACCUGUGGAUCGGAGUGAAAGGCUAAUCAAGCUCGGAGAUAGCUGGUUCUCCUCGAAAGCUAUUUAGGUAGCGCCUCAUGUAUCACUGUAGGGGGUAGAGCACUGUUUCGGCUAGGGGGUCAUCCCGACUUACCAAACCGAUGCAAACUCCGAAUACCUACAAGUGCCGAGCAUGGGAGACACACGGCGGGUGCUAACGUCCGUCGUGAAAAGGGAAACAACCCAGACCGUCAGCUAAGGUCCCAAAGUCAUGGUUAAGUGGGAAACGAUGUGGGAAGGCUUAGACAGCUAGGAGGUUGGCUUAGAAGCAGCCACCCUUUAAAGAAAGCGUAAUAGCUCACUAGUCGAGUCGGCCUGCGCGGAAGAUGUAACGGGGCUCAAACCAUGCACCGAAGCUACGGGUAUCAUCUUAUGAUGAUGCGGUAGAGGAGCGUUCUGUAAGCCUGUGAAGGUGAGUUGAGAAGCUUGCUGGAGGUAUCAGAAGUGCGAAUGCUGACAUGAGUAACGACAAUGGGUGUGAAAAACACCCACGCCGAAAGACCAAGGUUUCCUGCGCAACGUUAAUCGACGCAGGGUUAGUCGGUCCCUAAGGCGAGGCUGAAAAGCGUAGUCGAUGGAAAACAGGUUAAUAUUCCUGUACUUCUGGUUAUUGCGAUGGAGGGACGGAGAAGGCUAGGCCAGCCUGGCGUUGGUAGUCCAGGUUUAAGGUGGUAGGCUGAGAUCUUAGGUAAAUCCGGGAUCUUAAGGCCGAGAGCUGAUGACGAGUGUUCUUUUAGAACAUGAAGUGGUUGAUGCCAUGCUUCCAAGAAAAGCUUCUAAGCUUCAGGUAACCAGGAACCGUACCCCAAACCGACACAGGUGGUUGGGUAGAGAAUACCAAGGCGCUUGAGAGAACUCGGGUGAAGGAACUAGGCAAAAUGGCACCGUAACUUCGGGAGAAGGUGCGCCGGUGAGGGUGAAGCAUUUACUGCGUAAGCCCACGCCGGUCGAAGAUACCAGGCCGCUGCGACUGUUUAUUAAAAACACAGCACUCUGCAAACACGAAAGUGGACGUAUAGGGUGUGACGCCUGCCCGGUGCCGGAAGGUUAAUUGAUGGGGUUAGCGCAAGCGAAGCUCUUGAUCGAAGCCCCGGUAAACGGCGGCCGUAACUAUAACGGUCCUAAGGUAGCGAAAUUCCUUGUCGGGUAAGUUCCGACCUGCACGAAUGGCGUAACGAUGGCGGCGCUGUCUCCACCCGAGACUCAGUGAAAUUGAAAUCGCUGUGAAGAUGCAGUGUAUCCGCGGCUAGACGGAAAGACCCCGUGAACCUUUACUAUAGCUUUGCACUGGACUUUGAAUUUGCUUGUGUAGGAUAGGUGGGAGGCUUUGAAGCGUGGACGCCAGUCUGCGUGGAGCCAACCUUGAAAUACCACCCUGGCAACUUUGAGGUUCUAACUCAGGUCCGUUAUCCGGAUCGAGGACAGUGUAUGGUGGGUAGUUUGACUGGGGCGGUCUCCUCCUAAAGAGUAACGGAGGAGUACGAAGGUGCGCUCAGACCGGUCGGAAAUCGGUCGUAGAGUAUAAAGGCAAAAGCGCGCUUGACUGCGAGACAGACACGUCGAGCAGGUACGAAAGUAGGUCUUAGUGAUCCGGUGGUUCUGUAUGGAAGGGCCAUCGCUCAACGGAUAAAAGGUACUCCGGGGAUAACAGGCUGAUACCGCCCAAGAGUUCAUAUCGACGGCGGUGUUUGGCACCUCGAUGUCGGCUCAUCACAUCCUGGGGCUGAAGCCGGUCCCAAGGGUAUGGCUGUUCGCCAUUUAAAGUGGUACGCGAGCUGGGUUUAGAACGUCGUGAGACAGUUCGGUCCCUAUCUGCCGUGGACGUUUGAGAUUUGAGAGGGGCUGCUCCUAGUACGAGAGGACCGGAGUGGACGAACCUCUGGUGUUCCGGUUGUCACGCCAGUGGCAUUGCCGGGUAGCUAUGUUCGGAAAAGAUAACCGCUGAAAGCAUCUAAGCGGGAAACUUGCCUCAAGAUGAGAUCUCACUGGAACCUUGAGUUCCCUGAAGGGCCGUCGAAGACUACGACGUUGAUAGGUUGGGUGUGUAAGCGCUGUGAGGCGUUGAGCUAACCAAUACUAAUUGCCCGUGAGGCUUGACCAU
rnacentral:rRNA from 1 species